rnacentral:rRNA from 1 species
GUGCCAGCAGCCGCGGUAAUACGUAGGUGGCAAGCGUUAUCCGGAAUUAUUGGGCGUAAAGCGCGCGUAGGCGGUUUUUUAAGUCUGAUGUGAAAGCCCACGGCUCAACCGUGGAGGGUCAUUGGAAACUGGAAAACUUGAGUGCAGAAGAGGAAAGUGGAAUUCCAUGUGUAGCGGUGAAAUGCGCAGAGAUAUGGAGGAACACCAGUGGCGAAGGCGACUUUCUGGUCUGUAACUGACGCUGAUGUGCGAAAGCGUGGGAAUCAAACAGGAUUAGAUA